rnacentral:rRNA from 1 species
UACGUAGGAUGCGAGCGUUGUCCGGAAUUAUUGGGCGUAAAGCGUACGUAGGUGGUUUGUUAAGUUCGGUCUUAAAGACCAGGGCUCAACCCUGGGAGUGGACUGAAGACUGGCAGACUAGAGGACGUCAGAGGAAAAUGGAAUUCCGAGUGUAGCGGUGAAAUGCGUAGAUAUUCGGAGGAACACCAGAGGCGAAAGCGGUUUUCUGGGGCGGUCCUGACACUGAGGUACGAAAGCUUGGGGAGCAAACAGG